rnacentral:sRNA from 1 species
UAUCCUUUUCAGAUGCUCCAGGUAGGGU